rnacentral:rRNA from 1 species
UGGGGAAUAUUGGACAAUGGGCGAAAGCCUGAUCCAGCCAUGCCGCGUGUGUGAAGAAGGUUUUCGGAUUGUAAAGCACUUUAAGUUGGGAGGAAGGGCAGUAAGCGAAUACAUUGCUGUUUUGACGUUACCGACAGAAUAAGCACCGGCUAACUCUGUGCCAGCAGCCGCGGUAAUACAGAGGGUGCAAGCGUUAAUCGGAAUUACUGGGCGUAAAGCGCGCGUAGGUGGUUCGUUAAGUUGAAUGUGAAAGCCCCGGGCUCAACCUGGGAACUGCAUCCAAAACUGGCGAGCUAGAGUAGGGCAGAGGGUGGUGGAAUUUCCUGUGUAGCGGUGAAAUGCGUAGAUAUAGGAAGGAACACCAGUGGCGAAGGCGACCACCUGGGCUCAUACUGACACUGAGGUGCGAAAGCGUGGGGAGCAAACAGG